GCUGAGGUAGCAAAGAGGACAACUGCAACUGUCUGUAAAACAGUUGGCCAAAAGGUCUACGGAGGUUCGAAUCCUCCCUUCAGCA
rnacentral:tRNA from 1 species